rnacentral:tRNA from 16 species
GAGGUGACGGACGCGGGCUUCACAACCGUAGUUCUUCUCAACGCGCAGAGGUGGGUCC